GACGAACGCUGGCGGCAUGCCUAAUACAUGCAAGUCGAGCGAACAGAUGAAGUGCUUGCACUUCUGACGUUAGCGGCGAACGGGUGAGUAACACGUAAGGAAUCUACCUAUAAGCGGGGGAUAACAUUCGGAAACGGGUGCUAAUACCGCAUAAUAUCUUCUUCCGCAUGGAAGAAGAUUGAAAGACGGCUCUGCUGUCACUUAUAGAUGACCUUGCGGUGCAUUAGUUAGUUGGUGGGGUAACGGCCUACCAAGACGAUGAUGCAUAGCCGACCUGAGGGGGUGAUCGGCCACAUUGGGACUGAGACACGGCCCAAACUCCUACGGGAGGCAGCAGUAGGGAAUCUUCCGCAAUGGGCGAAAGCCUGACGGAGCAAUGCCGCGUGAGUGAAGAAGGCCUUCGGGUCGUAAAACUCUGUUAUAAGAGAAGAACAAAUUGUAGAGUAACUGCUACAGUCUUGACGGUAUCUUAUCAGAAAGCCACGGCUAACUACG
rnacentral:rRNA from 1 species